AUGCCAUGUUACGGGAAUGCACUUCAACAUGUGUUUACUACCCUGAGAUGUAAGGAAAUCCCUGGAGAUCUAUGGUCAAGAGUCUGGAGAAUCUUUGUCAUCACUCAUUGUGGUGAGAUGUCAUCAAUGGAAGCCCUUUGGGUGGAAAGAGUCUACGUUUCUUUUAACAGCUGGAGGUGCAGGGAAAUUCCUGGGAUCAUCAUGGCCCUGAGUCUUCCAGAAUUUGUUGCCUAUGAAUGA
rnacentral:lncRNA from 1 species